rnacentral:rRNA from 1 species
CGACCGCUGGCGGCGUGCUUAACACAUGCACGUCGACCGGAAAGGCCUGCUUUCCCUUGUGGAUUGCGGGUGCUCGAGUGGCGAACGGGUGAGUAACACGUGAGUGAUCUGCCCCCAACUUGGGUAUAAGCCUGGGAAACUGGGUCUAAUUCCCGAUAGGACUGCAGGGUGGUGCCUGUGGUGGAAAACGAUUUUCUAGUGGUUGGGGAUGAGCUCGCGGCCUAUCAGCUUGUUGGUGGGGUAAUGGCCUACCAAGGCGGCGACGGGUAGCCGGCCUGAGAGGGUGGACGGCCACAUUGGGACUGAGAUACGGCCCAGACUCCUACGGGAGGCAGCAGUGGGGAAUAUGACACAAUGGGCGGAAGCCUGAUGCAGCGACGCCGCGUGGGGGAUGACGGCCUUCGGGUUGUAAACUCCUUUCGACCGCGAGGAAGCCACCUGGUUGGAAGGGUGGUGACGGUAGUGGUAGAAGAAGCACCGGCUAACUACGUG